GCGGCCUAUCAGCUUGUUGGUGAGGUAAUGGCUCACCAAGGCGACGACGGGUAGCCGGCCUGAGAGGGCGACCGGCCACACUGGGACUGAGACACGGCCCAGACUCCUACGGGAGGCAGCAGUGGGGAAUAUUGGGCAAUGGAGGAAACUCUGACCCAGCGACGCCGCGUGAGGGAUGGAGGCCUUCGGGUUGUAAACCUCUUUCAGUAGGGAAGAAGCGAAAGUGACGGUACCUACAAAAGAAGCACCGGCUAACUAUGUGCCAGCAGCCGCGGUAAUACAUAGGGUGCAAGCGUUGUCCGGAAUUAUUGGGCGUAAAGAGCUCGUAGGUGGUUCGAUACGUCGGAUGUGAAAAUCAGGGGCUCAACCCCUGACCUGCAUCCGAUACGGUCGAGCUAGAGUUUGGUAGGGGAGACUGGAAUUCCU
rnacentral:rRNA from 1 species